AGCUCCUUCACCCCGCUGGCAUGGACUUUCUAGCUUCCACUGCUGACCGUUGAGCCUUCCCAACGUGGAUUCGAAAAAAGAGACUGGUUCAGAAAUAGUUCUGGAAAGAGGACUGAUGUCACAGUGCUGAGUUCCCCCACGGCCUCUUGAAAAGGACCAACAAAGACAUGAACUCUGUACAGCCCAUGGCUCUACCAGACAAGCAAUUAAGAA
rnacentral:lncRNA from 1 species